rnacentral:rRNA from 1 species
AAUAUCAGUCAUGCAUAGCAUAUCAAUAAGCGGAGGAAAAGAAACUAACAAGGAUUCCCUUAGUAACGGCGAGUGAAGCGGGAAGAGCUCAAAUUUGAAAUCUUCAAGGUUCUACCUUGACGAAUUGUAGUUUAUAGAAGUGUUUUCUGUUAGUGGAGUGGCAAAAGUUCUUUGGAAUAGGACAUCAUAGAGGGUGAGAAUCCCGUAUUUGGUCAUUCCUCCUAGCGUUGUGAUACACUUUCAACGAGUCGGAUUGUUUGGGAAUGCAGUCCAAAAUGGGUGGUAAAUUUCAUCUAAAGCUAAAUAUUGGCGAGAGACCGAUAGCGAACAAGUACCGUGAGGGAAAGAUGAAAAGAACUUUGAAAAGAGAGUUAAACAGUACGUGAAAUUGUCAAAAGGGAAGCGUUUGACACCAGUGUUGUUUUUCCGAAAAUCAAUUACGAAUGUUUUGUUUUUGAGAAGUUAUGACUUCAUCGGCUUGCUCCUUUCUUUACGAAACUUUCUUAAUGCACUUUUCGGUUAACAAGUCAACAUCAAUUUCUUUUGUUGUAAAAGGGUAUGAGGAAGGUGGCUUUCUUUUCGGAGAAAGUGUUUAUAGCCUUGUGCCUCUGCAAUCGGAGAGAUUGAGGUCUGCAGCGUAGAUCCUUCGGGGUUAGAUACAUUUGUGCUAAGUUAUAGCUUUUCAUAGACAACUUGUUGACUAUGUUGAGUCUUGUAGCUUACUCGCUUAUGCUAUUUUACCUACGCUUAGGAUGUUGAUCUCUCACAGUCGAGC